rnacentral:lncRNA from 1 species
GUAUCCAAUGGUUUUGCAUUUGGAGUUUGCAAUUUGGGCAACUUGGCAAAUGAGGGAGCAAACUUGACAAAAAUGCCAAGUUGUGGAUGGCUUUGCAAACCCAAUCGCGCGAGCAAAGUCACGCGUGAGGAAAGCGCGCGCGCCUGGAAACCUUCUAUUUUUAUCAUUUCCCAAGUCCAAAUACCAAUUCUCUAGGAGAUGACCUAUUUUUAUCCUUUGCAUUUUGUUAUGGGAGUUUGCAAAUAACAACAAAUGCAAAGUCAAUUUGCCAAAGCCUUUGGAGAUGCUCUAAAGUUCUGGUAUGUUUUACGACUAAAUAUAUUGUGUCUUAUAAAGGAAGAAAGCUCUAUCUAUCUAUCUAGAACAAAAACCCUAUCAAGGAUGUGUUUUAAUUUGACAUAGAAUUAUUAGGAUGAUAUUAUAUUGUUGCCAAUGUUAAUUUAUAAUAUGAACGCCAUGAUCAACAUAAAUAAAUUAUAACUUUUCAAUUUUAUUAAAAAAAUAAAAAAAUAAAAUAUACAUGUAACAUUAUUGUUUUCAUUUAACAUUAACGUGCCAAUUCAUUUGUGGUCAUUGUGCAGCUGAAGCUCUAAGAACCACUAAUAACUAUAAAAAUUAAGUCCCUCGGUUGUGCACUAAACUGAAGCCAACAAAUCUCUACAACUAAAAAUUAUAAAGAUGACCUAUCUACCAUACCUAUGAUGACACGCUAUUCCAUCAACGCAGGCCCCACUCACCCACACAUGCAAAAAACAUUUUUAAGAAAUUAGAAAAAAAUCAUAACUCCUAAACCGGAGAUCUAAAUUAAAUUCUGAUUGCACCAUUAAAUUUCUUAUAAUAAUCCUUCAAAACAAGAUCACAUAUGGAUAUAUUUAGAUAAAAUUUUAUCAAUGAAUAUUUAUCUUAUAAAGAUCUCUACGAGUAAAAAUUACGAAGAGGACCCGUCUACCAUACCUGUGGUGAAGCCGCGACUCCCGUCCUCAGCACGUAUGGAUGACACAGAGCCCACUCACCCACGCAUGAAAAAACAUUUUUAAAAAAUUAAAAAAAAUCAUAACUCCUAAACCGGAUAUUUAUAUUAAAUUUCCGAUUGCACCAUUAAAUUUUUUAUAAUAAAUUCUUUGAAACUACAUCACACAUGGAUAUACUUAGCUAAAAUUAUAUUAAUAAAUAUUUAUUUUAUAAAGAUAAAAUAUUUUCUUUUAGUAAGCAGAGACAAUGUUCUAGGUUUAACAAAGAAUGUUCUGUCUUUGUAAGAAAAUUGUUAUCGAUUUAAAAAAAUAGUAUUUUGGUUUUAGGUUUAUGAAACUGAUAUUACAAUAUAUAUAAAAAUAAAUAAAUAUAUAACAUAGAUAAAAUAAUAAAAAAAAUAUAGAGCAAAAAACUUAAGGAAACAAAUAAAACACAUAUCUCUUCUCUAUAACUAAAAAUUACGAAGAGGACCUGUCUAACGCACUCAUGGUGAAGCCGCGACCCAUCCUCGUCGGUGGUCUUUUUUACUCCACACAUCCUAUCUCAGCACCGUAGGCAAAGAGCACAAAAGGUCACAACAUGCAUGGAUGACACGCUAUCCCAUCAACGCAGGCCCACUCACCUAUGCAUGCAAAAAUAUUUAUAAGGAAUUAAAAAAGUCAUAACUCCUAAACUGGAGAUCUAAAUUAAAUUCUGAUUGCACCAUUAAAUUUAUUAUAAUAAAUUCUUCAAAACAAGAUCACACAUGGAUAUAUUAAGAUAAAUUUUAUUAAUAAAUAUUUAUCUUAUAAAGAUAAAAUAUUUUCUUUUAUUAAGGAAAGACAAUGUUCUAGGUUCAAUAGACAACGUUCCGUCUUUAUAAGAAAAAUAUUAUUGAUUUACAACAAUAGUAUUUUGGUUUUAGGUUUAUAAAAUUGAUAUUACAAUAUACAUUAAAAUAAAUACAUGACAUAGAUAAAAAAAGAAUAAUAAAAUCUAGAGCAACAAGCAUAAGGAAAAAAAUAAAACACAUAAUGGAGAAAAAAUUUGAAGAAUAUGAAAGGGUUAAUUUUCAAAAAUCGUAAAUAUAUUUAUAGAACAUUAACAUCACUAAAUAUAUCAUAGAACAUCAUUAAAUACAUUAUAGAACAUCACAUAUAUAAGAUAUGAACGUUAUUAAAUACGUUAUAGAACAUCAUAUGUAUAUUGAGUGAACAUCACAUAAAACAUCAUAAAAUAUCGCUAAAUACAUUAUAAAACAUUACAUAAACAUCACUAAGUAGAACAUCGAACAUCACAUGUAUGCUAAGGAAACAUCACUAAAUACGUUGUAGAACAUCACAUGUAUACUAAGUGAACACCAUAAGAAAUAUCAUAGAACAUCACAUGUAUUCUACAUGAACAUGACAGAACACAAUAUAGAACACUAAAUGUAUACUAUGUAAACAUCAUAUAUAUAUAUAUAUAUAUAUAUAUAUAGAAAAUAGAAAAUAAUAAAUUUAUUAAAACUUUAAUCAGAGUAAAACAACAAAUAAGGAAAAUAUAAAUUUGUCUUGUGCUCAGGAUGCCCAAAGACUACGGAAGAAAUUUGUGAUCGAACUAUUAGCGUGUGAUGAGAAUUGACAGUGUUGCAGGAUUCCUCUAUUCGUAUAAGAAUAUCUUAGCCGCAUCACGGGCAUAAGACAAUGGAAGAGAUAGUUGUGAAGGACUUAUCUUUCAUGCACUUAUUUUGACAUUGUUAAUAAACUUAACGCUUAUUAUUUGAAUGUGGCUCCAAACAUUAUGUUGCUAAGCCAAGUUAAAAUUUAUUUGUCUUCAUUUUGAUCCACUACUUUUUGAUACUCUUACCGCGUUGAAAAUUUGAGCUCAUAACAUGCUUUUUUUUAUUGUGUGUAAUGAUAUUGAAAAUUUUAAGAUUCCCGUAGCAACACACGGGUAUUUACCUAGUUGAGCACUUAGUAGUAUUUCUCCCGUUGCAAUGCACGGAUAUAUUUGCUAGUAUAAAUUAUUUUCGAAACUAAAAACACUUUCAAAUUUAUUAAGCCUAAUUAGUGCAUAAUUAAUACUAGUUAAUUCAUGGUUGCUAUAGUAAAAAUGUGCUAAUGAUAGAUUAGUUAGACUUAGGCCCUGUUUGGUUUCACCAACUAAAUUUUAGUUAGCUAAAAUUAUUUUAGCUACUCUUGGGUGACUAAUGGAACUAAACUAUUUUAGCCCCUUUUAGUCAAUAUGUUUGGAACUUUAGCUACUAAAGUGACUAAAGUUUAGCUAGCUAAAAUUUAGUUGGUGGAACCAAACAGGGCCUUAAUAAAUUCGUCUCGUAGAAUACUAACGGAAUCGACAAUUUAUUUUUUAUCAGUAUCUAAACAUUUUAUGGCCACCCCAUAUGAUAUCCGAUGUGACACCUACUAAACUUAGUACCUAAAUUUAAACACCCCUUAAGUAUAUUGUAAGCCAAACUAUGCUAAGUCUUACUAAAUUUUAACAUAAUUUCAUGGAAUUUAAGGAGAAGAGUAUUAACACCUACCAGGUCAUACGGGAAUAUUAUAAUUGAAACUUGGGACAGAAGGUGUAUAUCAGCUAAACAGUGUGUGAGGACUGAAGACACCAAAUUUCGGGGGCAUCCUAAGCAUAUAAGAGAAUCUCCAACCAUUUGGCAAAAUUUAUUUUUUAAAUCUUAUUAUUGGUAAACUUCUAAAAUAAUAUAGAAAGGAAAAAAAGAUCUCAACUUCAACAGUUUCACAAAUUUCAUUUCAAAAACAAAAAACCCAUUAACCAAACGAAGAGCCCCACUAAGCAUGGGAAGAAAGACUGAUGCUAAUCAUGAAUUUCGCGCGCAUAUUUGCGCGCUAGACAAGGAGAUAUGCCAAGUUAGAAAUUGGGAAUUAGGAUAGAAAACUGUUGGAAUUUUUUCUUUAUUUUGCUAAAAAAUUAUAAAUAUAAAAUCAUUUGCUAAAGUGUUGAAGAUGCUUUUAACUUCCUUCUCUAUUGAUUUGUACUGAUGUAGGUUGCGUCAAUCAAAAUGUAAACACAAGCAUGUUACAUCCGCGCGGGGUGGGAAUCUCUUUGAGCCCUUGCAAGGCCUUGUUUACUUCCAAAAAGUUUUGCAAAAUACACAUGGUAACACUUUUGUUUGUAUGUUGAUAAAUAUUGUGCAGUCAUAAAUUAAUUAGGCUCAAAAGAUUCAUCUCGCAAAUUGCAGGUAACUGUAUAAUUAGUUAUUUGUUUUAUUUAUAUUUAAUGUUCUAUACAUAUGCUGCAAAAUUUGAUGUGAUGAAAAAUUUAAAAGAAUUUGCAAAAUUGUUUAGAAAAAGCCUGAAACUGGACACCGCUGUAUGGCGCCGCGUUCCGCCUCAGUCAACUCCCCACGUCUUGUUUGAGUUCCCACGUUAGGCCUACUUUGGCAACUCGGGGUUACUAGCCCAGGAAACAAAACAUAGGGGGAGGGAUUUUUUUUGACAUGUAGAUCCCCCUGUUGGGAUUCCAUGUGGGGGAUUAUUUCACUGCUGCUGUUUGGAAGCAGUUGCAGGGGGAGUUGGAUGCAUGCAUGCACGGUCAGCUCGAGCAGCUCCAGCAAGCAUGCAUGCACGGAUCAGUCUUUCAUCAUGACUUGUGAUUCUCUGCUGCACAUCUACAAUGUCUAGGAUUCCAGGAACAAGUCUUGACUUAUUUGAUAACUUCACUAUAGAUAUAGUAGUAUAGAAGCGUCUUAAAAAAUAAGAAAAUUCAAAAAAAAAAUAACAAACUCGUUACAUAUCAAUGCUAGCAUCUCACAGUGAUAGAAAAAUCUCAGGAAUAAGUAUGUUUACAUAAAAUAUAUAGGUGUUUCAAACUAAAAUCAAGUCUUUGCACAACUACAUAGAAGCAAAAAAUGUCAACGAUCAUUACAAAAUUUGACCAAACUUCACUUGUCUCAAACAUGCAUUUGUUCCACCAAAACCUCUGCAAAUAACAUAACAAAAAUAGUGAGCCCUUGUAACAGAUUUUUUCCCAACAAGUUUGUAUAUGAAUGCAUCAUAUAGAAUAAAGUUACAGCAAGCUAACACAUGCAAAUGCAGUUUAGUUCAGACUAACCAGUGGAGGCUUUUCUUUUCUUGUACAUACACAAGCAUGGAGUCUAAUGAAAAAUUACCUAGUGGCUACACCCAUCAACCGAGUUCCAAUUUAUUCAAUAUUUAGACUUAAAAAAGGAGAUCCUGGCAAGUAGGACAAUCAUGUGUUCUCAGAGACAAACCGUAUUUAACAAAUGUAUAGUACACAUUAAUUAAGCAUUAAAACCGGCUAACUAGCGCUAGAAUUUUUUUAUUGGAUUCCUAAACUAACUAGUACUGAGUAGUUCUGCAGGUCAAAAGCAUGCUGAGUCUGAGAAUGCAGUGGACAAAUCAUUUAGCACUAAAUAAAUAAAGAUGGAAAUUCAUUUCCUGUACAAUUGUAUAAGUACAAGUCCAAAGUACAAUUCAUAUUUUUGUGCUCUGCUUCUAAAGUACAAGUCCACAAGAGUAACAAAUUUUAAAUCAUUAGAAACACAUCAGGUAUUGUCAAAUUCUAUUCCAAAGAAUCAAUAUAAUUAACAACAUACAAUUUCAUAAAAUUUAACGUGGAGGGGUUAUAUUCUGUACCAGGUGCACAAAAUAGCAUGAAAGACAAUGAGGACUGAGGACUGAGGACCGGGAGAUGGCAGCCUGGCCUGGUGAAGUUAGACUAAGAUGUCAACUACCUGCAGAAGAUGGCGAUUAGAAAAAGCAAGUGUUACAAAUUAAAGAAAUCAAAGCAUGUGAACUUUAGAUAUACAGUAAGCAGUAUGCUACUAUUUACUACUUAAUCAAUGACCAAAUAGCUCGGAUUGCUUUAAUUAGAACGAUAAUGCAUACAUAAAGGACAAGAGUGUAAAGGCGAGGUCAUUUAUUUGUCAUUCGAGCAUAUCCUAACUCCAAGAACAAAUACUUUAUGGAUAGCUCAGACUCAGAGCCUUAGGUACAGAAGGGACUAUGGUACGUAUCAACUUACUGAUAUCCACUGAAGAACAACUGAAAAAAAUGCGAUGCAUGCACUUUAACUCUUUGAAACCAAAUGAAUAAAUACAUUGCACCAAAAACUCACAGUCCAACAGCUUACUGAUAUCCACUGAAGAAGAAAAGUUAAAGUGUAACCUUCUUUAUGGGCAUAUAACGGGGCAAAAAAUGCAGAUUGACAUAUAUGGAAAAAAGUUAAAGUUACUGAUAUAGGGGGCAAAAAAGUUAAAGUUACUAAUAUAGGAGGCAAAAAAGUUAAAGUUACUGAUAUAGGUGGCAAAAAAUGUAGAUUGACAUAUAUGAGCAUGUGCAGACAAGGGUAACAUACAUGUCACAUUAAGCCAACCAUGGGAAUCACAAGCUGUGAAGUCUCACAGCCCAGAGCCAGGUACCACCUGACUACAAACUAAAGGUAACAUGCAAUUCGACUCUUCUUUAACCCUACUAUACUGUAAAAAAAUAUAUACACAAUUAUAGUAGUGGAGCAGUGCGCAUCACAUUCGCCUACAAUUGUUUACAACAAAAAAGAAGAAGGAAAGAACAGAGCUCAGCUAAGCGACUCUUCCAAUCCACCAAGAACAGAAAGAAAUCUGCUUAAUUUACUAUACACUAUACAAUAGCCCAUCAUACUUGCUCCAUGGAAAUCGAUAAACUAAUUCAACAGAACACGCUUAUAAAUUCUCUAAUACUAUCACCAUGGCACAGAGUAGGGUAUUUUCCUACAUGAAAUCUCUUUUUUAAAAAAACUCCAAACUUUGAACAUGCUAACUGAAUCUCAGACUUCGGAAACAGCUUAAGUGUUAUUUUCAGAUUAAAGUCAAACAACAGCUUAAGUGUUAUUUUGAUGUCUUUUCAUAGCUAAGAAACAUACGGUUCCAUGCAAUUCUACUACUUAAAUAUGGUACGGUACACUAGCUGUACAACACAAAGUGUUAGCGCUAGAGCUGGGACUGGGAAUGUUCAUCACAUUGUGCAUCGUGGUGGCUCAAAUGCUACAAGCUACAGGCUCAAGUACAAAGAUACAUUGUACCAUUGUUUUCUACUAGUGGUGGCUCAAAUAGAGGCUUACUAGUAUGUUUCAGACAUGAAAAAAUUUGGGAGUACUGACCAGAUGGGGUAGACAUGGAAACACUAACGUUACUUUUAGAGCUUGUUCUUAUCUCUUAAUCCAUGGAAUUACAACGAGUAAAUGCUGCUAACAGUGAGGGAACCAUACAAACCUAAAAAUAUACAAAUUUCACCAGAUCUUAUCACAACAAGGAGGAAUACCAGAACAAGGAGGAGAGAGAGGAAGGACUCACCAGAUCUUGAAACGAGGCAAGCGGCCAAGCAGGAGAUCACCGGAUCUAGGAGGAACAACAUGUGAGAAGAGAGGUCAAGAAACCCAAAACCCUAGCAUAAGGCACAAAGAUGUAGAACAGCCUGUGAGAAGAGGCAGGCUCACUGUUGGCAUGACCAAGCCUCACCGGAUCGAUGAGAAGGCGGAGGACACGGAAGCCGGGAUGGAGGACACGGGGUACCGGGGCGGAGGCGAUGGGAUGCGGGGGCGGCGUCGAUGGGAUGUCGGGGCAGAGGCGACGCCGCGACGGGAUGCCCGAGCGAAGAGCUGCUCGACGUGAUGCGGCGCUCCUUCGCCGUCUCGAUCUGGACGUUGUCCGACGACGGCGCACCUGGGAGAGCGGUGGCGGCCUCGCCACUGGGCGGCGCUGCGAGCGAGGAAGAAGGAAGCCUCGCGGCUCGCGAGCGCACGGGGAGUCGGGGAUACACUCCCGGCCGAAUGCGUCGUGGAUUUGUUCCUCGAGGAAAGAACAGGAAAGCGGGCUGCCAUCCUCUACUUCGUGGGCUGCCAAAGGGUGCACAGAUUUGGCCCGGGGGAGGCUGGCACGGGCCGGAUUGGCCCAUGGAAAAGGCCGGGAUCCCCCCGGGAAACUGGGCUGCCAAAGAAGGCCCAGUUUCCGAUAGACUGUGUUUGGCAUGAUAUUGAUGGCGGCCCCACCGUCAACAAGUAUCUUGGUCAUCGGCUGCCCAUCAACCCUUCCUUUGAUAAACAAAGCUUUAAGAUGCUGCCUUUCAUUAUCAGCAGGCUUUUCGAAGAUGGCUGUCAUUGGGUCCAGAGCCAACUGAGCUAUUUGGUCGGAAAAAUCCAGCUCCUCAUCAUCACAGGAUGGCGCAAGAAACUUCAUCGGCAACAUAAAUACCAUGUUAACAUCUGCCGAUGGCCCUUUCCCCUUAGGAUCCGGUCGCUGCUGAUCUCCAGAUUGGCCAGAAUUCUCGCCUUUGUUUAGCUCUUCUUGUCUUUCGCGCCGCAGCCUCCUUUUCUGUGUCCUAGUCAACCCCUCUGGACACCAUGGAGGAAGUUGUGGUUGCCUUGCCGAUGGGCGACAAUUUUCCCUUGACUCCACUCAAUAGGUAUUGGCAUCCCUACAAAAUAUGAACUCAUCGAGAACACGAGCAUUUGCCAUCUCUUCAAGCUCCUCUUGGUUCCUGGGAAAGUAUCCAACACGGUCACUGAGUCUAUCAUGCACACGGAGCCUGCCCCCAGCCGAUCAUGAACUGAAGUUCUCCCCCUAAUCGGCCUAUUAAAACGUCGAUCAUCAUUCUAAUACUGCCGAUUAGGUCUGUCAUACCGAUCAUAACCAUUGCACUCAGGGCAGUCCCUAACAGUGGGCAAUUUGAUGUUCUGUUCCCAGCAAUGGAUAAGUAAUGGGUAGUUCCAGUGAUCCUUGUGCCGAUUCCACUCCUGUCGGCGUCUUUCUUCUUCCCGACGAUAAUCCACCUGCUGGCGCCGAUACCGAUCUUCACGUUGCUGCCUAGUCUCCCGAUGCCUUCUAUAAGUUAUCACAAUGCUAGAUCAGGGAGGUCUUCCUGAGCUAUUUCCUUCCUGUAACAAACCCUUUCCUUUAGCAUCGGCAACACUAAUCUGAUGCUGAGGAUCCACCGAUGCACUUCUUUCAGCUGCUUCUGACGUCAAGACCUUGGUCUUCCCUUAGCAUCCAACAUAUUUGUUGGGAAAGGAUGUUGAUCGAUCUUCAUCGGCUUCUGAGCUUUGGAAUUAUCAAACUUGAUUCUCCCAGAUUCUAUAGCCGAUUGCAGCUGUUGCCUAAAAACCUUGCACUCAUUGGUGCUGUGAGAGGUUGCAUUGUGCCACUUGCAGUAUUUCAUCUUCUUUAAUUCUUCAGCCGAUGGAAUCAUAUGAUUAGGUGACAAUUUGAUUUGCCCUUCCUGAAGUAGAAAGUCAAAUAUCCUAUCGGUCUUGGUAAUGUCAAAGGCAAACUUCUCUGGCUCCUUAUGCCCAAAAGGGCAAGACAUCGGCUUUUUGUUCUUCACCCACUCUGCUAAACCGAUGACUGGCUCCUCAUCAGAAUCUGAGAUUGCUGCCUCAUCAACAAAUGACACCUUUUUAUUCCAUGCUCUCGUGGGCUCAAAGGUUUUGAUAUCCUGGUCGAAAAUCCUCUACACCAAGUGACUUAGACUCUCGAACUCUUUAGAAGGAUACUUGUCUCUGAUGUGUGGCAACAAACCCUAGAAAGCCAAAUCGGCUAGCUGCCGAUCAUCUAGAACCAGGCUAUAACAUUUAUUCUUGACUUCCCGCAACCUCUGCACAAAGCUUUCAACCGAUUCAUCAUUGCGCUGCUUCAAUCUGACUAAAUCGGUGAUCUUCUUUCCAUGGACUCUAGAAAAGAAAUAUUUGUGGAAUUGCUUCUCUAGAUUGGCCCAAGUAAUUACUGAAUUGGGAGGUAACAGCCGAUCCAGACAAAGAUGAUGAAAACAGACGAACCCUCAAUUCAUCUCUGUUAGCAGCUUCCCCACAUUGAAUGAUGAACCUGUUGACAUGCUCCAUAGUCGAUGUAUCAUCCUGUCCAGAAAACUUAGUGAAAUCUAGUACCUUGUACCGAUUUGGAAGUGGAAUUGAAUCGUAUGCAGGAGGAUACGGUGUCCGAUAAGAGUAAGUGUUGACUUUGGGCUUUAUCCCAAAUUGGUCUCUCAUUACUUCAGCUAUCUUAUCGGCCCAAUAAGCAUCGGCGUCUUGCCGAUGAGGCGGUUGUGGAUCUGGCACCUGUUGAUAUGCUUCCACGUGUCUCUGAGGUGCACGAUCCGCAUGGAACAUUGGGUUAACCAUCUGACCACCAAUCUGCUGACCGAGAUUCAUCAGCUGGUUGGCCAACCCUUGAUUCUGAAACCCGGGUUGAAUUUGGCCUUGUUGAAACCCUAGAGCCUGAUGAUUCUGCCGAGGCAUCUAUGGAAAGACUAACUGUCCCGUCCAUCCAUUGUUAGCAUUCAUCGGCAUAAACCCUGCCGAUGGUUGGAAAUUGGGCAUCAUCAUUGAAUUGACAUGUCCUGGCUGUGUCAUAAACCUAUGCUACGUCGGCAUUGAAUCUGCCGAUGCGUUAGGCAUCUGGAACGUUGGAGCUUGAGAAUUCCCAGUGUAAGGCCUUGCAAUAGUAGUUGUAGUACACUGGGGACUCUGAUUCAAACAUUGCUGCUUGUAGUCCUCCAUGGCUUUUGCAAUAGCUUGCUUCUACUCAUCUCUGAGAUUAGCUUCCGUCACGGGGAUGAUGUUCUCCAAGUCGAACUCGGUAUUUGCCAUGUUGAUCUUGAUCUUGAAUCUGUCCCACCAGGCGUGCCAAAAGAUGUGUUGGUGCAAAACUGAUCUGCAAACACAAAGGGCUACUACCCGAUUCAAACGUUAAGGCGUGCUAGCCGAUUUGACCUUACAAUCGACAAAGGUGGUAACUCGACCACUCUGGUCCUGACAACAGCGAUGCGCCCAGAUGUCACGGCCAAGAGAUGAUCACGCGGAACUUGAGAACACACCGAGCUUAAGUCGACGAAUUCCUAAGAACUCAUAGUAAAAAGAAAAUAUGACGAAGUCGUCGAAAAAGUAGAUGCUGGAAUAUGAGUAAAAACUUGUGUUUGUGUGAUUGAUUGCUUCUCAUUACAUUGCUCUAGGGUCUACAUUUAUACCCUAUCCGAAGAGCUACAACCAGAAACGACUAGGACUCAAAUUCCAAACUAAACGGAACCCGUACACAAAACAAAUUCUAAUAACUAAGGAAAACAUAAAAACUACCCCCUUGUAGCCGACUGGGGCACCGCAACAGAUCAAUCAGCAACCUCCACGCUUUCCUUUAGAGCCAUCGGCAGAUCUCCUGUUGUGGCCAUCGGCAUUUAUACUAGUCAUUGGCACGAACACGUCACCACCUCUGGACUUAGUCACACUCAGUUGUUUCCUCAUCGGCAACCACCUUCAUCGGCAACUUCCAUGUAGACUAGUUACCGUUGCUUCAUCUGCCGAUCUAUACUUUACUAUCCCUAGAUACGCGUCAAAAGAUACGUGUCCAAAAACGGUGUCAACACUUCUCAUCCUUGGAGCGCUUCUGCUCCUUGUUCUUGGCCUGGUUCUUGGCCCGGAGCUCUUUGUCUUCUGGGACUAGGGGCAGGGUGUACCUGACGACGCCCAUCCCCUACGGGUAAAUGGCAACCCAAGUAAGGGCUAGUGUGAGGAAAAAGAUGAUGAAGUAGGAAUGAAGACGGAAAUGCCUUACCAGGGAGAUGUAGUCCCUGUCGGGACGCAUCGGGACCACCCGAUAGUUCUUCAAUUUUGAGGAUAUUCUCCUCGAGACCCGGGUGUUGGUCUCUGAGGCGGGCACCGGCGCCUCCAGCAUCCGCGUCCCCACGGCACGAGCGGUGGGGUUCAUCUCCCACAUGGUCAGCACUCGCUGCGCCAACGGCAGGAGACUUCGUUUGUGGAAGGCGACCGCCACCGUGGCUGCAGUGACGCAUGCGUGCCGAAGCUUCUCAAGGCCCACGAGGAGGGUGUCCAACCUCUUUUGCUCCCCUGCAGGAGCACCCCACCCCCACUUUGUGGGGCACUCGAGCACCAUCUUCCUGGUGUACUCCGAGAGAAGGCUGUGGUCAUUUCGGAGGUAGAACCAUACGUUGUGCCACUCCCGGUUCGAUCACGGCAAGAUGCUCAGAUGUACAAGUGGGAGCGCGACUCCCGGAGUUGAAGCAUGCAGCCGCCGGCCCUCAAGGGCCUCUUCUCCCCGCCCUCGUUGCGGGAAGACUUCUCCGCCUUGAACAGGUGGAGCUAGAGGUAUCAAUGGGGAGUAAUCCCCAGGUACCCCUCGCACACCGUGGCGAAGACGGCCUCCUGCAUGAUGGAGUUCGGGUUGAAGUUGUGUAGCUCUACUUCAUAGUAGUGCACAAGAGCCCGCAUGAAUCGGCCGGCCGGGAUCUCGAACCCCUAGUCUAGGAAGGAUAGGAAGCAAACCACAUAGCCCGGAGGUGGGUUUGGCUCCCUAUCGUUCGCUGGAGGCACGAUCCACUCUAGCGCCCUCUCAUCCGUGACGGGACGGAGAAGUCCACCCUUCACCCGGGCCUCUAGCAUCGCCCGGGUGACGUUGCACGGGGCCACAUGUCUUCCCUGGCCAUGACAGCGAGCGAGAUCAGACGCUUGAGAAAAGCUCGGUGAUGGUGAGGUAUUGGAAGCAGAAGGCUUGGAGGCGGGGGCAUUUGGAGGUAAAGGCAAGUAGAGAAGAAACCGAAAACCCUUGCGGUGGCUUUUAUAGAAAGGGCGUACCACAAUCUGUUUCCCACGCAACGGAUUAGGGAAGGAAAUAGGAACCGUCGGCCGCUUCAUUAACCAAGUGAAGUAACUAAAGCACCCACCCUUUCCGAUUCUCACGCCAACCACACCCACGUGCGCAUUAAAUUUACAGGCAGAACGUCCUAUCCUACUCAGGUACAAUUAGGGGCAGGAUGUGUUGACUCCCAUGGUCUAUGGCUAGUCUCCGAAGGUGCAAAGAAUUUAAUAAUAGGUAUGGAAUUUGAGUUAUCCAUAAAGAUAAAAAUAAAAAGAUAAAAGAAUAAAAGUAUAAAAGUAUAAUACAAGAUAAUAGCAAGACUCAAAGUUAUCUCAGCAAACCGUCUUUCUCCCCGGCAACGGCGCCAGAAAUGCUUGUUGAUAUUUGGUAACGCAAUUAGAAAAUGAUCCGCAAGCGCACGGAUAUCGGUGAGCAUUUCACCCGGGAGGUUAUCCAGAGUUAUCGUAUUUAUAUUUUUACCACUGGGAGAAAGGGUGCAUCUGACUAACCAAAUCUAUUGCUACUAUCCCUUUAGGCACAAAGAAUGUCUUUCGAUGUGAGUGAUAAAUAGAGAAGACUGCAACCGUAGUCUCCUUCUAACCUUGGUAAGGAUGAUCUACUGUUCUAAUGGGGAGGCUAACGGAAUCUAGACACCACAAAGGAUGUUCAACCCACACCUAUAAACGCUAUCCUUCCUGCUAACGAGAUGUGAUCUGCAAAGGUAACUCGGAAUUGUCACGUUCCUCACUACUACCACAGUCCAGCUAGUCAGGGAAUAUCUAUGAGUACCCCAGCCUAAACACCACGUUUAUGCCAGCAAUGAUUACUCUAAACUCUACGCGAAGAGAUUAAAGUAAACUCAUAAACCAUAAGAACAAUAAAACAAGAACUUACUAGAAUUUAGAAGUCGAAAUACUGAAGAAUCCUAGGAGCAAGCUUCGGGUUAGGAGAACUUGAUCCCGCAGGUACAAGCUUGGAGUAGACACCGACAGGCCGGGCUUCCUCCAAUCUACACCUCCACUCUAUCUCUCUCAAUCUAGUAGAAACUAUAAGAUCUAUUUCUACCUUACAUUGGUUGCUAAGCCUAAAAAGAAAUAUUAAUUAGAGAAGAGGUUUUCCUUCGAGGACACCCCUUAAUCUCUAUGAUAAUUUCUUGUCUUCUCUAGGGGCCAGGGGGGUCUCCUUAUAUAGUCCUCCCCUUCUAUGCGUUUUUGGGUCGGUAGGCGAUGUGGUACUAUGUUAUUCUACAUCCAAUAGGUCGGUGGAGAUCUCCCGAGAGAAAGGGUCCUGAUUGGGCUCAGCAGGUGGGUGGGCGCCCAAGGAAACUGGGCGGGCGCCCAAGUCCUGGCCCCGUUUCGCCUCCGCUUCGGUCUCGUGGCUUCUGGAGUCUUCUAGAUGGUAGCAAAUUGCACGGUGCGUUGAUAUCUCUAUGUAAUCCCAACAUGUGGGCCUUUCUUCCGUAUUUCCUGAUAACCCCUGCAGAAAUAGACAAACACCAAAACUCGUGGAAUUUUGUCAGAUAAAACCCUAAGUCUAGAUGUUGAUUUCAUUUGGAUCCUUUUCUUUGUUUAUUUGAUAAUUAAAUUUGAUACUUAAGGACCGUCAACAACCCCCCCUGCUACGCCCGAGCCGAUACCUCCUAACGUAAAAACCCCUAGGCCACGACCGCUUACUUCUAGAGGUUGCGAGACUGACCUACCAAGUAGAUUCAAACAGUCGCCUCAGGAUAGCCAAGCAAGGGAUGACUAAGGAUGAGCUUGAUAGAGGCCACGGACCGAACCCCAUAGAGGCUCGGCGCAUCCUUACCAGUCAUAUCCAACACCCAUGCGGGUGUCGCGUGAGUGGGAUCCCAUCGAGGGUGGCGUCCAGCCCUCGGAACCUAUCGAACGGUUCUGACAUCCACCGUGACUGCCCUCGGGUAUUUCGAGAUGUGCCCAUAGGGACGCGAGCCGACCCCUAUCGAAUGGGUCUCGGACAUCCGCUUGGACGUACCCACUAGUAGCUCCCCGGGAAUGUCGAUACUCGCCCACCGAGGGUAGUACGGCACCACCUAUCCCUCCUCGGAGCGAAAGGAUGAAUGAGGGGAGUAAAAACGAGACGGGAAAGACCCUGGACGACCCUUGUGGGGAAAGGGCUCGGGGGCUUCACCCGCACGGGGGAAUGGGCACUGCGUGUAAAGAACACAUAACCUAUCCUCUAGAUACUCCCUACAACACUACAGAGGAGUAAAAGCCUUCAGAGGAAUAACACCAUUCCUCCCAAGGCUCGGGGCCUACACCCGGUGGGUGCGCUCGUGCGCACCCCCUGGAGGAAAUAAGAGCCUUGGUCUAACAGCCAAACCCUUAAAAAGAGCCUCUAAAGGAGCAUCCUAGCCCCUCCACAGGAUCGGGGGCUACUAUUGGGUACCAUAAAUCGGGAUACCCAAAUUAAAGGAACAAAAAACAGCAAAAAGGAGCAAGACGAACACCCGACCCCUUUAGGCUUGAGCGCAAGCUCCAUCUCGCCUGACCCCCUGGCCUCUGGCGCAAGCUCCGUCUCGCCCGACCCCCUGGCCUCGGACGCAAGUUCCGUCUCGCCCGACCCCUCAGGUCUCGAGCGUAGGUCCCGUCUCACCCGAGCCCUGGGUCUCGGGCGCAAUCUCCACCUUCACCAAAAUCUCAGCAUCAAGGGCAAUUAGUGCCUUGCUCGAGCCUCGGCCUCAAAGCCAGGCUUCCAGCACACAGUGGCCGUACCCUCGACCCGAUGUGCACCAUACCUCCCACGCAGCAGCAGGGCAUGACGGCUACUAUUUCAACAACUCCAGCCACUAUAGAACCUUACCUCUUUCACUGUGGGGCAUUACCUUACAGAAAAAGAAGGCAUGGAGAGGGUUAACCCCUGCCACUGUGACCAUAUCUGGACUGUCAAUUCCCUACUAUUGCAGGACAUGCUGCAGUAUCACCGACCCGACCACCAUGACUACAACAGGGCUCGGCGACCCUCCACAGGAGUGACCACGCCGUCACACCAUACCCCAAGGAUGAAGUGGCCGAUCUCCACAGGACCUGCACUAUCACUACCUCACUCACCAGAGAUAACUCACAACCUUACACAUGUAAAAACCCCUGCCACCCCUUGCGGCUAUAAAAGGGGAGGCAGGGCACCUAUCAACGGCACGGCAACAGACACUCAAACCACAGAUAGUACUCCUCACCUGAGUAGUGAACAUCAUUCUAUCUACUCCUCAAAGUCAAGACAUGGGACUUAGCCCUCUCUUGCAACCAGCUUGUACACCCCUACUACGAGCACUUUCGGGUGCAAGGCAAUACAGACACUGACCCCUCCACAAGACGUAGGGCAUUCGAGGCCCGAACGAGUAUAAACCUCCUAUGUUCCCUUACAUCACCAUUCAGGUUUAGGAGAACACGCAGACUUAUCACUCAUUAGUGUUUGGACGCCGAGUCCAGACACCAACAAAGAGGCUAUGGGGAGGUAUCGUCGGAGCAUGGCUUCCAUAAAGAUAGACCGACUUAUAGAAGCGGCCAAAGAAAGAAGGAAGAAGAAGCAGAGCGGUUGCGUAGGUUGGAGGCAAUGGUGAUGGAGUCAUGCGAAGCGGCUUGUGAAGCGAUAGCGCGAGAGAAAGCGCUUGAAGAGAGAAUGAAUGAGGAGAUCAAAAGAUAAGUGCAGAUGGCAGUAAGUUCUAUACAAAGGCAAAACAUUAGCCCCGCCGGUCAGUUGAAAAGCAGUUGCGCUUCCACGAAGAUGCCAACUAUUCAAGACGACGUGGGGCUGCACUUUCCGGUGGAUGACAUCAUUGAACCUCUGACAACAUGUGAGCUACACAUUCCACAGGGGACAAGCACAGUCAUGGUUGCUGUUGGUGUUGUAACUCUUGUCGACCCUAUGAAGACUCCAAGAAUCCAUGGGGCGAUAGUUCCACCUGGAUAUGCUAGUGUCUUGGUGGAUAGAGUUGUCAAAGGCUUCAGUAAUGUCCAGCUUGAGAUAGAAGGAGGUGAUGGAGAGAAAACUUUCAUUUGUUGGCACAAGUGCUACAUCAUUAUUCCUAGGGCAUCACCUAGUAGUCUACCACCACCUCCUCGUCAUGAACCUAAUCCUAGGUGCGGAUGAAAAUUGACUAUACAUUUGUCCCUAACUUUAUUUUGUAUUCUAUUAGUUAGCGGUUUACUCAUAUACCUUUUUGGUUUCAUAGGUGGUCACCAACAUGUCAUAGUGUUGUGGGUGAUGACGAGGGAGUGCAAGACACGGCUACAUCGCCUCGGUCUCCAACGCCACCACCUCGGGCUCCAACGCCACCACCUCGGGCUCCAACACCGCCACCCCGGGCUCCAACGCCACCACCUAGGGCUCCAACACCACCACCUCGGGCUCCAACACCGCCACCUCGGGCUCCAACACCGCCUCCUCGGGCUCCAACGCCACCACCUCGGGCUCCAACGCCGCCACCGGCCGCCCCAUCGCCUCAACACAUGGCUCCAGCGCGAAAGAAGAAGCCGGUCGCACAAUCAAAUCUGUGGGCCGCCCCGCCACCAAAAAAGAAAGCCUCAGAAAAGAAACAAUCUAUCAUUCCUAAUAAGCUGUCCUAUGAGAAGACUGAUGCAGAACUAGAUGCUUCGGUAAAGUCAGAUGUGGAUAGUUUAUUCGAGAAACUUAAGACUAAAAGAGAAGCCAAGCGAAACCCUGAGAAGCCAUACCUCUUACUACGGCCAGAAGAUCUACGACAAAGGGUUGAGGCUCAACAAAAAAAGAGGCGUUAAGCUCAGAAAGAAUCAUCAUCUUUAUCGAACUAUGAUCGCACUUUAAGGAAAUCCAUAGAAGAAGAGAAGAAGAAAGAGAAAAGAGCACGCAAGGGUGUAGCACAGCUCGGCGAACAAUCAAAGCAAUCAGUGCCCCCACUAGUAAUUGGAAAUGAAUAUGGUUCAAACAUCGACGUGCUAGACCAGCAGAUACCGGUAGAUUUAAAAUUUGAUGAGCUUGAAUUUUUUUUUGUGGAAACUGGUCUUAGCUUAGCCCAAAUGAUAGCUGGGGCACCAAUUGAAAGUGCUCUAGAAAUUGAUCAUUGGCAGAAGGAAUAUACAUAUGGCAAGAGUCUAUACAACCCUGCGGCCCUCAGCAAACUUGGAACGUAAAUGUACAUGCUAAACAAAUGGUACAUGGCAGCGUGUGUUAGAAAAGCAGAUGACUAUCUUUGUGUCCGAAUUAGAAACUAUCAUUACUCCCGUUGUGAUGAUAUUAUUUAUGUUCAAUUUAAUGAGCUACACCAACUAUGUCACAUGGACGCUCUUGACAAAUCUCUAAUGAGUUAUUUUUGUGAGUAAGUGAUUCUUUCUUUCAAUAAUGUCACUGUAACUUAUCAUGUAUAUAUAACUAAUUACAGAAACCCACUAUACAUAUGCAGAAACAUGAUGAGGGACCUCGGAGUUAGAAAUGAUAAGGAGAUUGGAUUUGUGGAUCCAAAUGUUGUAUUCAAAGACCAGAAGACCCCGUAUGUCUUAUGGAGAACUCAAACGAAGAGAAAUCUAUGGAGGUUCUUGAUAAAUCAAAAAGACAAAAGAUAUAUACUCUUUCCCUAUAACUUUAAGUAGGUGUUGUUAUCGUGUGUACAUUCUAAAUAUUAAAUUCUGCUCUUUUAACUCGGUAAUAGAUAAUUAAUAAUGAUCGUUUUAUUGCUAGGGUUUGGUCUAGGUUCGUGCAGAAACACCGUCCAGAGUUGAAUGCAGCACUUUCAAAGCCUAUCUUACUUCAGUGGGUUCUACGACAGACACCGGGCAACAUUUUGUGUGGCUACUAUGUGUGCGAGUUUAUGACGGUCUAUGUCAAAAGAACUAAUCUUAAGCAACUAAAAGUAUGUAACAUGUAUAUAUAAUAAGUUUAAUUCAUUUAUUUGUUGUUAUUUAAUAAAUCCUAUUCAUACCUCUAACUUUUUUCUUUAAUGUCUAUUAAAUGAGAUGUGGUUGAAGGAGCAGGUGUUGGAUGCAGUCCGCCUAAAAGGAAUUCAAGAGACAAUCGCAGGAUUUCUUAACGACCAAGUCCUGAAUCCCGGUGGUGGGUGCUACUUCAACCCUAAGGAGCCCAUGAAACCAAAUCACGAUGAUCAACUUUGUUCGUGAUGCAUGUGUAAAUAUUAUGUUAUGGACCUAAUAGAUAUAUAUAUAUAUAAUAUAUAUAGUGUUUUAUAGUAUAUUUAUAUAUAAUGCUUUAAAUUAUAAAAAUUAAAAGUGCGCGUUUCCAUAAACUAGCAGCAAACAAUAUGCAUUCGAAAAUAAUAAUAACAUAAUUGUAAACCCUAAAUGGAAAACCAAAAGUUAAAAAAAGGAAAAAAGAAAAAACUCUUUAGUCGCGGUUGGUAACACCAACUGGGACGAAAAGUGGUGGCCAGGUGGCACACUGUGGCGUAUCUUUUAGUCCCGGUUUCUUUUACCAACCGGGACAAAAGGUGGACCUUUAGUCUCGGCUCUAGGAAGCGGGACUAAAGGUGGGACAUUUAGUCCCUUAGCCUCGGUUCCAUAGCCGGGACAAAAGGGCCUUACGGUCCGGGGCUAAAGCCCUUUCCUCUACCAUUGCGUGUUCUGUUUUGUGUCAAGCCGUCGACAACGAGGCGCCUAGUGAAUUCGUCAAUCUCGAGAUUUGUCGGUCCAACUCGGUUCUUCGGAGGUGCUCAUAGAGGUAGAGUGUAUGUGCAUACGUUCAUAGAGGUGAGUUUGCAUUCGUGUAUGUGAGCAUCUGCAUGACUGCAUCCAUAAUUGGGUCUCACAAAAAAAUACUUCUAUAACUGGCCAUGGCUACCGAGAUUUGGGAUGCGGAUUUCUUUUAUCUUUUUGUAUUUUUGGUGGUGGCGAGGAGAUAGAACAUGCACAUGCACCAUGGCAGAUGGUCAUGGGAGGGAGCAAUGCGUCUGUGCCAGUUUUACUUCAUAUAGAAUUUGAAGCAGACAAUACAUAGUGUUAUUGUGUUAUUGUGUUAGGUAAAUUUACAUAGUAAUCCUUAUUCUUUUAAUUAUAAAUUUAGUGAACAGAUUAUACAAUCAUAGUUACACAAGCAAAUGAUUUUCUUAUUUUGAAUAUAAUCCUCAUGCAUAAAGGAUUUUCUUUCCCAUUGCAACCAUGUUUGCUAGUAUAAUGUAAUCAAUCAAAAUAAAUGUAUUCCCAAACUAUUCACAUAUGGAUAUGAACUCUAUCAAUACAUGCAUAAUAUGGAAGAGCAUCUCCAAGGGUUUUGCAUUUGAGGUUUGCAUUUGAGUAAUUUGUCAAAAAACUCCAAAAGAGGUAUCCAAAGUUUGCAAUUUGGGCAACUUGGCAAAUGAGGGAGCAAACUUGACAAAAAUGCCACUGCUAGCUUCCUUUCCACAGUCGACACCACUGGAAGUUGCAGCAGCGCUCAACACGGCAACGACAUUUGCUUUCUAAGUCGUCGUCGAUCGCCGGCGUCUGGUCAACCCGCGACCAAACUAAGGUCUGUUUAGUUUGUGAAAAUUUGUAGUUUUGGUUAUUGUAGCACUUUCCUUUGUAUUUAAUUAUUAUUAUCUAAUUACGGACUUUCGUAAAUUACUGUGCAAUUAGUUUUUAUUUUUGUCUAUAUUUAAUACUUUAUGUAUACGUCUAAGGGCACCCCCAAUGCAAGACUCUAUUACAGAGUCCAAGAUAAUUAAUUACAUAUUAUUUAUGGUAUUUUGCUGAUGUGGCAGCAUAUUUAUUUCAGAUUGUAACNNNNNNNNNNNNNNNNNNNNNNNNNNNNNNNNNNNNNNNNNNNNNNNNNNNNNNNNNNNNNNNNNNNNNNNNNNNNNNNNNNNNNNNNNNNNNNNNNNNNAUGUGGACUGAGAGUCUAAAUAAGACUUGGAGUCUUAUUUUUUCUCUACCUCUUUCUUCAAUAAAUAUGCUGCCACAUCAGCAAAAUACCAUAAAUAAUAUGUAAUUAAUUAUCUUGGACUCUGUAAUAGAGUCUUGCAUUGGGGGUGCCCUUAGACGUAUACAUAAAGUAUUAAAUAUAGACAAAAAUAAAAACUAAUUGCACAGUAAUUUACGAAAGUCCGUAAUUAGAUAAUAAUAAUUAAAUACAAAGGAAAGUGCUACAAUAACCAAAACUACAAAUUUUCACAAACUAAACAGACCUUAGUUUGGUCGCGGGUUGACCAGACGCCGGCGAUCGACGACGACUUAGAAAGCAAAUGUCGUUGCCGUGUUGAGCGCUGCUGCAACUUCCAGUGGUGUCGACUGUGGAAAGGAAGCUAGCCUUUGGAGAUGCUCUAAAGUUCUGGUAUGUUUUACAACUAAAUAUAUUGUGUCUUAUAAAGGAAGAAAGCUCUAUCUAUCUAUCCAGAACAAAAACCCUAUCAAGGAUGUGUUUUAAUUUGACAUAGAAUUAUUAGGAUGAUAUUAUAUUGUUGCCAAUGUUAAUUUAUAAUAUGAACGCCAUGAUCAACAUAAAUAAAUUAUAACUUUUCAAUUUUAUUAAAAAAUAAAAAAUAAAAUAUACAUGUAACAUUAUUGUUUUCAUUUAACAUUAACGUGCCAAUUCAUUUGUGGUCAUUGUGCAGCUGAAGCUCUAACAACCACUAAUAACUAUAAAAAUUAAGUCCCUCGGUUGUGCACUAAACUGAAACGAACAAAUCUCUACAACUAAAAAUUACAAAGAUGACCUAUCUACCAUACCUAUGAUGACACGCUAUUCCAUUAACGCAGGCCCCACUCACCCACACAUGCAAAAAACUUUUUUAAGAAAUUAGAAAAAAAUCAUAACUCCUAAACCGGAGAUCUAAAUUAAAUUCUGAUUGCACCAUUAAAUUUCUUAUAAUAAUCCUUCAAAACAAGAUCACACAUAGGAUAUAUUUAGAUAAAAUUUUAUCAAUGAAUAUUUAUCUUAUAAAGAUCUCUACAAGUAAAAAUUCCGAAGAGGACCCGUCUACCAUACCUGUGGUGAAGCCGCGACUCCCGUCCGCACGUAUGGAUGACAUACUAUCCCAUCAACGCAUGAAAAAACAUUUUUAAGAAAUUAAAAAAAUCAUAACUCCUAAACCGGAUAUUUAUAUUAAAUUUCCGAUUGCACCAUUAAAUUUUUUAUAAUAAAUCCUUUGAAACUACAUCACACAUGGAUAUACUUAGAUAAAAUUAUAUUAAUAAAUAUUUAUUUUAUAAAGAUAAAAUAUUUUCUUUUAGUAAGCAGAGACAAUGUUUCAGGUUUAACAGACAAUGUUCUAUGUUCUGUCUUUGUAAGAAAAUUGUUAUCGAUUUAAAAAAAUAGUAUAUUUGUUUUAGGUUUAUAAAACUGAUAUUACAAUAUAACAUAAAAAUAAAUAACUAUAUAACAUAGAUAAAAUACAAAAAAAUAUAGAGCAAAAAACUUAAGGAAACAAAUAAAACACAUAUCUCUUCUCUAUAAACUAAAAAUUACGAAGAGGACCUGUCUAACGCACUCAUGGUGAAGCCGCGACCCAUCCUCGUCGGUGGUCUUUUUUACUCCACACAUCCUAAUCUCAGCACC